GCUGCUUGGCCCCUCCUUGCUCUCUUUAAGCCCUUACCUGACCCAUCCAGCAGGUCCAGUUAUUCGAGGGUCUCGAGGGGACCUUCUUCUAAGAACCAAAUGGGGGUGGGGGGGGGGGGAGAAGGACGGACACCAAGUGCAAGGAACGACACGUAAACAGUCUGAGAAGCAUCAAGGUGUCAGUGUAUUCAGCAAGGCUCAAGGCUUAAAUGUACAAGCAAAAGGGGAAGUACUUCUCAGCAGGAGGGAUGGGGCAGCAGAAAUUUUUCUUUUGACGACUACACAGGGGAAACAGGAACUUGGUGGUAUCAGGGUACAUCUUGUGGUCAGGACAUCCGGCGCUGACUUAGGGCUGGAACAUUCUGUGGUUGUUCUCGGAGCGGUGCGUCGGUGGCCCGCUUUUGACCACCUUUUCUUCUCGGGUGGAGAGGCCCAAUUCAGAGAUCAUGACAAUAGUGUUGUCUUAAUAGCUCCCAACACUUACCUUUCCUACUCUCAUCUCUAGCCCUCCUUCUCUCUCUCCUUUCCCCCUUCUCUCCAUGUGGCCAUGGCCAGCCUCUCUCUUUCUACUUUCUCUUCUUCUCCUUCCUUUCUACAAUGAAACUCUAAAACCAUAGACUGUCUCUGCUCAUCAAGACCCACUGUGCUUGAACGAUGGGAUAGGCUUUCCCCUAAUGAGCAGCGUCUAACCUCCCACCAGAAAGCCUUCCUACACUCCAGCCAUGGGACCAGGGACUCACACCCGUGUAGAAACCACCCAGCACACCUCUCCCCCUGCCCUCUCCUCCCUUUGGCCCCAGGGCUGACGAGUGGCCCCCUGGGGCCCCCAUUUGUUCUCAGCUCCUCCACAGUAUCCAGCAUGGGAUGCUAGAGACCGAGAACCUGUUAUCUAGGACUGCUCCUUGUCCAACCUAGCUGGGAAUUCAUGGCUUCACACAGCCAGACACCCACCCAAGGCCGUGUGGAAAGCAUGCAGCAGUCCUUCCAUGUCCACCUGCCCAGAGCACCGGAACUCUGGUGGGAAACAAGUUUUCUCCCACUCCACUUUCCCCCACACCCACUGCCCCACACAUGGCUGUGAGGUUCACAGCUUAGAAUGUAAGGGAUAUGCUUCUGUGUAUCCUGGUUAUCCUGGAACUCACUCUAUAGACCAGACUGGCCUCAAACUCAGAAAUCUACCUUCCUCUGCUUUCCAAGUGCUGGGACUAAAGGCACAUGCCAUCAUACCCAGAAGAUACGUUUAUCUUACUGCAUUGUCAUGCAUCAUAUUACAGAUACUUAUCAACUGGCUGACUCAUUGGCAGAUGCUUGCAUUUCCUAAAAUGGAGUUGAAUGUGAAUUAUAACUUCCACUGCAAAUAGGUCAGUGUGUGAAGUACAUCGAUUUUUAUGCCUUAUUAUUUGGGGGUAAAUUGUAAAAUAAUUGCCUGAGUUUUCACUGCUGAGGUCGAAAGAAGGUUUAAAAUGCCUUUGUUGUUCCAUGAAUAACAGAAAAUGCAUAAAACAUAAGUGUGCAGUUAAGGAGUAUUUGUAAAGUGGAACUUGUGUAAACAGUAUGUGGGUCAAGGCAAAGGGCACCGCCAGGCAGUAUCUUAGCUGGUUCACCUUUUCAGUUACAGCUUU
ensembl:lncRNA